rnacentral:lncRNA from 1 species
GAAAGCAAUGAGCUGAAUCUAGAAUGUGGGACAUGGUGUGUGGCACAGGACUUUCUCCUGAGCAGCACUAGAAAGCUCCUAUGGCUGAUUUAGGAGUGACGGAAGAGAUGGAGAUGGAGCUACUCUGCUCAUGCCUAUGAGAAAAGAAUUCCUGACUGUAUUAUGGUCUGGAGUGUGGUGCCAUUGUUUUGCAGGCCUAUGGACUCUCUUGUUUUGGACUGAGGGACCAAGAACAAGGAGUCUGGGGUCUACUGUCUUCGUUCGGGGUUGGGGAACCAGGUAGGGAUUUGGAGCAGAGCUCAAAGGGCCACUUGUAUGUGAAGUAAGCACUCAGAUUGGCUUUGACCG